UUGUGUUCCUCUGGCCUUGAAUCCCGAAAUCAUAUCUUCUUUGAAUGUGAAUAUUCUUGCAGACUUUGGCAGUUACUUUUGGAAUUGUGUGGCAUGAGGAGAAUGGUUGGCUCGUGCGAUCAAGAACUAUGUUGGGCAAUAUCUCAUCUUAAGGGUAAGUUCCUUAUCUCAUAUCUUUUUAAGGUGGCUUGGAAUGCUUAUGUGCAUUCUAUUUGGUGCAAAAGAAAUGGUAG
rnacentral:lncRNA from 1 species